AGUGGUCGAUAAUGACUGCAAAGAGAACUGCAGGGUACCGUUACUGAGUCUGAUUGGUUCUUAUUCUUUCUACUCAUUUCUUCUCCCUUAUGUUCUCUUUUGACUGCAAAGAGAACUGCAGGGUACUGUGACUGUGAGUCUGAUAUUGGUUCUUAUUCUUUCUACUCAUUUCUUCUCCCUUAUGUUCUCUUUUCUUCUUUUUUUUAUGCAGAAAUAGAGGAGGUCUCUAUUGUUAAGACGCAGGCGGUUCCAAUGGAAGACUCUAUUUGGAACAGCUUUUUUCUGAAUGGGGGCGUUAGGUUUGCAGCAUCAACCAUCGUUAGGAGUGAUCCGAACCUUCGUACAGACCAUUGUAACUGUUUGGUUUAAAUCAUGAUGAAAUGGCCUCGUCUCGUCUGUCGUUGUUUCAUUCUUUUGCAGCAAUAAUUGCAUGGCAACAUGCAC
rnacentral:lncRNA from 1 species